AGUUCACCAUUGUUGUUAACUAUGGACCAGAAAAUGUUCAGAUUGAAGGUAAAGAUCUGAUCAAUGAAAACGAUCAGAUCAAGUUGAUCUGUUCUGCUGAGUCCACUCCAUCUGCUACAUUCACCUGGAGACUGAAUGGAUCAGAGAUCAUUGGAAGUUCUGCUGAGUUCUUCAAAGAAAAGGCACAAAGUUCUGACAGUGGAACCUACACUUGUGAAGCAAAGAAUACUGUCACUGAGAAACAAUCAACAGCUGAACAUGAACUCCUUGUUCAACCAGGUGCCGAAGGUUCCUCAGGAUGUUCAGCUGGCUGUAUUGCUGGGAUUGUGAUUGCAGUUAUAGUGGUUGUUGCUGCAGGUAUUGGUGGAGGAUUCUACGUUUAUAAAAGGUGAGUAACAGCUUAAUCAUUUAAGGAUCACAUAAUCAUUGACUUUCUCAAUUUUUCCAAAAACAACAUGUAACACAUGUCACAAUGGUGUUUAUAAUUUGUCCAAAAUGUAAUCUGAAUCAAGUACCUCUCUAGUAUUUUCUGGAUCAUUUCUUCUGUAGUUCAUGUAAUUAUAGUGUUAAAUAUUACCCAGAUUCAUUGUAAAAAUAUUAAACCACUUUACUGAGAAUUUUGGAAAUGUCAAAUGAAAUGCUGAUUUAACUUUCCUAAAAGUUUUUUUUUUUUUUUUGCCUGAAAACUUGACUUUGUUCAUUCCAUCAUUUUUCUAAAUGUUGCUUUGUGCCAGUUAAUUUGGAUUAAUUUAAGAAAUGAGAAUGAGUAAUAGUAAUAAACAUUAAACAGUGUGACUUAAAUCCUCAUUUAACAGGGCUGAUUGAAGUU